AGUGAGCGCUGGCGGUAGGCCUAACACAUGCAAGUCGAACGGCAGCACAGUAAGAUCUUGCUCUUACGGGUGGCGAGUGGCGGACGGGUGAGGAAUACAUCGGAAUCUACUUUUUCGUGGGGGAUAACGUAGGGAAACUUACGCUAAUACCGCAUACGACCUACGGGUGAAAGCAGGGGAUCUUCGGACCUUGCGCGAUUGAAUGAGCCGAUGCCGGAUUAGCUAGUUGGCGUGGUAAAGGCCCACCAAGGCGACGAUCCGUAGCUGGUCUGAGAGGAUGAUCAGCCACACUGGAACUGAGACACGGUCCAGACUCCUACGGGAGGCAGCAGUGGGGAAUAUUGGACAAUGGGCGCAAGCCUGAUCCAGCCAUACCGCGUGGGUGAAGAAGGCCUUCGGGUUGUAAAGCCCUUUUGUUGGGAAAGAAAAACAGCAGGUUAAUACCCCGCUGUUCUGACGGUACCCAAAGAAUAAGCACCGGCUAACUUCGUG
rnacentral:rRNA from 1 species